UUUACCUAAUAAAAGGAAUGAAAUAUUUCAUGACACUGUCUAAAAAUGUUUGAAAAUUUGGGAGGAAAAAUCCACAAGAAUACAAGAUCUUUCCAGAAUUCCUAAACCUAAACCCUGGAAUUUUCCUAAUUCAUAAACCUUGAAAUUAAGCUUUGAAUAUGGGAACCUGAAUAUGGACGAAAUAGGGAAAUCACCGUAAGACUUCAAAUGUAUGUCUCCCUUACUACCCCUGUCUCUCACAAAAGUCUUGAAUAACUAAUAGGCAGGGGCACUAUCAAUUCACAGACUCAGGAAUCCUUACCUACAACCAAUCAAUGCUGAUAAACCUUAUUCUAAAAUGUGCUAAAAAAUUUUCUUAAUGGAAACACAGGAAUAUGCCCUUCUAUAUUUCCAUGACUUUUCCUUUUUGUCCUAUGUAAGGCCAUAUGAUGAUGUUAUUACUCAUUUUAGUAGUCAGACUAUUCAAUAUCCAAAGUAGGAAAAUAAAUUAACCUAUAGAAUGAUUUUGAGAUGGCAGUGAUGUUUACUGAAUUUUUAAAACAGCAGAGACAUCAGCUUCCUGGGCGGGGGGGGGGAGGCAGAACAGCAUAAAGCAGUAAAGCUUUAGUGUCAGAGUCCUUGGUUCGGAUUCCAGCUCUGACACUUGUGAGCUUUGCUAUGUCUCAAUUUCUUUAUCUAUAAAAUGGGGAUUGAAACUACAUAAACAACCCUGUGAGGUAAAAUCAAAUCAGCAUUUUUCACACCUGGCUGGUCACAAGAAUCACCUUGGAAAUUUAUUAGAAACAUAAAAUCUCAGGCCCCACUCCAUACUUACAGGGAUGUGGCCCAAGAAUUUGUAUUUUUUAACAAAUUCCAAAGAUGAGCCUUACAUACCAGUCAUAAUUUAGGAACCAUGGAAAAAAAAUUUAUGUAUGUUUUUACAUAUUCUUAUAGAAAAUUCUUGUCUUUAUAUAUUUAUGUAACUUACCAGUAUCCUAGUACAAUACGUUCUAAGUGUUCAAUAAAUACUUGAUGUCAUUAUCAAUAAUUACUUUAAAAUAGGAGAUAAAAUUGAUCAUUUUGUAACAGGAUGGCCACUAAGCAGUGUUGCAGAACUACUUUGUAUAAUCCUCUCACCAAAAAUGAGACUUAAAGCAUGAUACUAUACUGUUUGAGACAGUGAGAGAUGAUAUAAACUAAGUUCCAAAUUGAUGACAACCCCUCUUUUGUACAACAUAGUUUGCAACAGAUGGAAAGCAUAAAGUUAGGCAUGUUUAUAUUUUUCCUAACAAAGCUUGACCAUUCCAGAUCAUUCCAUCACAAAACCAUGCAAAUUCACCACAAAGCAAUUCAAGUGCUAAAUAAAUGUGUACAGUAUCAUUAAUACGGUAACAAAUAUCCAAAGCCCACAGAAAUGGAUAUUCAUUGAAGAUUCCUGAUUCUCAGUUAUUUAUGAAUAAUAACUGCAUCUUUCCUUUUUAAAGUCUAAACGUUUGAAUUAAUUAUCAUUUCUAAAUAAAAUGGCCUCAUGUGUUAAGAUACUGAGACUUUUAUUUUUUUAUUUAUUUAUUUUUAUUUAUUUAUUUAUUUAUUUACUUAUUUAUUUAUUUAUUUUUUAACGUUUAUUUACUUUUGAGACAGAGAGAGACAGAGCAUGAACGGGGGAGGGUCAGAGAGAGAGAGGGAGACACAGAAUCUGAAAUAGGCUCCAGGCUCUGAGCUGUCAGCACAGAGCCUGACACGGGGCUCGAACUCACGAACCGUGAGAUCAUGACCUGAGCCAAAGUCGGACGCUCAGCAAACUGAGCCACCCAGGCGCCCCGAUACUGAGCCUUUUAAAAGAAAGUCCAACCACACCUUUGUGCUAAUAUUAUGUAAAUAUCAAUGCUUUCUAUAAAAUUACAUGAUUUUUUUAAGUUUUAUUAAGAAACUUAACAAAUUUGUUUUUAAAUUGAGUUUCCAGUUUGUUUCGAUCAUCACACAAAUCUAGGGUAAAUUCAGACACUACUACAAGUACUAAAUACUCUCCCUUCUAAAUACAAACAUAAAUAAAAAAUAGUUGCCACCAAGAGAAGAUAAAGUGUACAGCCUAUGACCAUUUGGAGUAAACUACAUAUAUUUAUUAGGCAUUUAUUUUUUUAUUUUAAAAUAUUUUGGAGACAAUUUUUAAUAAACUCAUAACUUAGUUACUAGUGUGCAAAAGUCAGAAUAUUUCAGCUGCACAAAGUAGCAUGUUUACCUAAUUUGCAGAAUAAGGUAUUUUACUUUUGGGUUUAUUUCUCCAUACACACAUCUUAAAAGAUUAUGGGGAUCAAUAAUCUAAUGCUAACAGAUUGCUUCAAGUACUAAGGAAGAAGGAUGUUACAUAAAUAAAGCUUAAAGGGAAAGAAAUUAUUUUGGUCAUUAAAAUAUAGGACUCCACCAUUUUUUUCUAUCAAGUUUUAACCAUUAAUCCUAGUGGUAUCAGAGAAACAAAGUUAAACCAAGAGAGCCAGAAGGCCAAGGUAAUCUGAUCUUAAGAGUUAAAAGAAACACAGUAAAAACUACAGUUCAAAGAUGUCUCACACAAGUAUGCCAAAGCUUUCACCACUCCUCAGCCUGCAGAACAUUAACUACUUAUAUUAAAAGAGCUUGUAAACCACUGUACCAGCACCACUGCCUACAUGACAGGGAAUGAAGAAAAUUUCAUGAAUUUAAUUUGAUUACCCAACAUAUCUACAUUUUCAGGUAUAUUUGGGGUCAGGAGAGUGAAAUUGAGAGUAUUACAAAAGUUUUUAGUCUUCAAAAAAAAAAAAAAAGCUUUUAGUCCUCAGUACAUGCUUGAUAUACUGCAAACAAUAACGAUGCACCUGCAACUACCAAUGACAAGUAAUGAGAAGCACUGAUUAUCUGCUCUUCUUCCCAAAACAUUUUUAUGCAUAUAUCUUCCUGGCGCCUUUGUGAAACCUCUUUUUUCCACACUUUCUUGAUUAUCUUGCUAAAUCCCUCCCUGUGGUUAAAAGGAUAAUUUGGCAAGCUGUCUUGAAAAAGGCACAAAAAUUUAAGAAUGGAAAAAAGAAUGGAAGGAAAGAAAGGGUUGUGGUAUUGCUUCUCCAUCAUCAAUUAAUUCUCAAGAAACAAAGCAGGGAGAAUCUCCCACUCGAAAGUACUACAAUGACAAUAAAACUGUCCAAAGAACAGGAAUACCCUUUGUUCCACUCUACUAGCUCAACUCCUGAGUAAGAGAAGUUCAGGAUAUAGCACUUAGUACGUUUGGAAAACUAGCUAUAGUUCUCAUAACAACAAACAUUCCAAAAGUUAACUCCAAAAGAAAAUGGUUUAUAGCAAUUUGGUGGGUUUCACCGCAGUGGUAGUUCUUUAAAAUAUAAAAUUUAAAAGAGCACAAAGUACAAGACAAUAACUUACUUGAGUUGGAACAAGUACAGGAGGGUAGGCCAUCUUAUGAUGCCUGUACACCCAAAACGCACAAAUAACAAUCCCCGCAAUUAACAUAAGUGGCACCAAGGAAUAGAGCAAUAUGUUGUAAUAGGGUGGCUUAGGUGUAACUGGGUUCGAAGUAGCUGUGGAAAAUGGAAGGAAAAAAAACAAUUCAGAUUUGGCCUACAAAAUUCCACAAGAAAUAUUUAUCAUGGUAUCAAAUUUUAGGAGAAGGUAUGAGUAAAUUAUUCCAUCAACACAAAUAUGCUUUGUUUUCAGUGUACUAGUUGAACAGACCUAUGUAUUUUCCCUGUAAACUUACGCUGUGUAACUUCCAUCUCUGGAAAGUAAGAAAACCUUUCGUUACACAUAUUGCCCUCACAGCAACAAAAAUAUACUUCAGGGCUGUCCUUUUUUUCUAUACAAUCAGUCCUAUAAACAAACAAAGGAGAAAUAAUUAAAAUCAACAUUAUAUUGAAUCUACAA
rnacentral:lncRNA from 1 species